GUGCCUUCGGGAACUCUGAGACAGGUGCUGCAUGGCUGUCGUCAGCUCGUGUAGUGAAAUGUUGGGUUAAGUCCCGCAACGAGCGCAACCCUUAUCCUUUGUUGCCAGCGGUUCGGCCGGGAACUCAAAGGAGACUGCCAGUGAUAAACUGGAGGAAGGUGGGGAUGACGUCAAGUGAUCAUGGCCCUUACGAGUAGCGCUACACACGUGCUACAAUGGCGUAUACAUAGAGAUGCGACCUCGCGAGAGCAAGCGGACCUCAUAAAGUACGUCGUAGUCCGGAUUGGAGUCUGCAACUCGACUCCAUGAAGUCGGAAUCGCUAGUAAUCGUAGAUCAGAAUGCUACGGUGAAUACGUUCCCGGGCCUUGUACACACCGCCCGUCACAC
rnacentral:rRNA from 1 species